CAGUCGAGCGGGGACACGGAGGUAGUAAUACGUCUGUGUUCUAGCGGCGGACGGGUGAGUAACGCGUGAGCAACCUGUCCCGAACAGGGGGAUAACGAGCCGAAAGGCUCACUAAUACCGCAUGAGACCACAGCAUCGCAUGGUGCAGAGGUCAAAGGAGUAAUCCGGUUCGGGGUGGGCUCGCGUCUGAUUAGCCAGUUGGUGAGGUAACGGCUUACCAAAGCAACGAUCAGUAGCCGACCUGAGAGGGUGAUCGGCCACAUUGGAACUGAGAGACGGUCCAAACUCCUACGGGAGGCAGCAGUGGGGAAUAUUGGGCAAUGGGCGAAAGCCUGACCCAGCAACGCCGCGUGAAGGAAGAAGGUUUUCGGAUCGUAAACUUCUAUCCUUGGUGAAGAUAAUGACGGUAGCCAAGAAGGAAGCCCCGGCUAACUACGUGCCAGCAGCCGCGGUAAUACGUAGGGGGCAAGCGUUGUCCGGAAUGAUUGGGCGUAAAGGGCGCGUAGGCGGCCCGGUAAGUCUGAAGUGAAAGUCCUGCUUUUAAGGUGGGAAUUGCUUUGGAUACUGUCGGGCUUGAGUGCAGGAGAGGUAAGUGGAAUUCCCGGUGUAGCGGUGAAAUGCGUAGAGAUCGGGAGGAACACCAGUGGCGAAGGCGGCUUACUGGACUGUAACUG
rnacentral:rRNA from 1 species